rnacentral:rRNA from 1 species
UACGUAGGGUGCAAGCGUUACUCGGAAUUACUGGGCGUAAAGCGCGUGUAGGCGGUCCGGUAAGUCCGCUGUGAAAGUCGGGGGCUCAACCCUCGAAUGCCGGUGGAUACUGUCGGGCUAGAGUGCGGAAGAGGCGAGUGGAAUUCCUGGUGUAGCGGUGAAAUGCGCAGAUAUCAGGAGGAACACCAAUUGCGAAGGCAGCUCGCUGGGACGUUACUGACGCUGAGACGCGAAAGCGUGGGGAGCAAACAGG